GAACUCACUAUGUAGCCCAGGCUGGCCUUGAACUCACAGUGAUCCUCCUGCCUCAGCCUCCUGAGUGCUGGGAU
rnacentral:miRNA from 1 species